UACGGGGGGAGCAAGCGUUGUUCGGAUUUACUGGGCGUAAAGGGCGGGUAGGCGGCCACCGCAAGUCAGUUGUGAAAUCUCCGGGCUUAACCUGGAAAGGUCAACUGAUACUGCGGGGCUAGAGUGCAGAAGGGGCAACUGGAAUUCUCGGUGUAGCGGUGAAAUGCGUAGAUAUCAGGAAGAACACCCGUGGCGAAGGCGGCUCUCUGGGACGGUACUGACGCUGAGACGCGAAAGCGUGGGGAGCGAACAGG
rnacentral:rRNA from 1 species